rnacentral:rRNA from 1 species
GGCCUAACACAUGCAAGUCGAACGGUAACAGGAAGAGCUUGCUCUUUGCUGACGAGUGGCGCACGGGUGCGUAACACGUAUGUAACCUUCCCUUUACUGGGGGAUAGCUCCGGGAAACCGGAAUUAAUACCCCAUAGUAUUACGAAACGGCAUCGUUUUGUAAUUAAAGCUCAGGCGGUAAAGGAUGGACAUGCGCUCUAUUAGCUAGUUGGUAAGGUAAUGGCUUACCAAGGCUACGAUAGAUAGGGGGUCUGAGAGGAUGAUCCCCCACACUGGUACUGAGACACGGACCAGACUCCUACGGGAGGCAGCAGUGAGGAAUAUUGGUCAAUGGACGCAAGUCUGAACCAGCCAUGCCGCGUGCAGGAUGACGGCCCUACGGGUUGUAAACUGC